GGAUUGGGGCGUGUAGGGGGGUCAGGGAGGUGUGUAUGAGGGUCUCAGUGUCUGUAAUGGGAUCAGGAAUACGUAUGGUAGUCUCGGGGUGUCUAGUGGGAUCACGGGGAUAUGAGGUCUCAGGGUCUGUAGUGGGAUCGGGGGAGCGUGCGUGGGGGUGUCAGGGUCUUUAGUAGGAUCAGGGGCGUGUGUGGGAGGGACUUGUGGACCUAUAAUGGUCUCAGGUGUGUGAGGGCAACUGGGCCUCCUGUAGUAGCCUCAGGUGUGUGUGUGUGGAGGGAUGGCAGUGCCCAUAGCAGGCUCAGGUGUUGGAGAGCCAGGACAAGGACCAUGUGUCCUGUGGCAGAUCCCAGCAGGAAGAGGCUCCCAGUAACCAAAGAGGAGCAGAUGGGACUUUGCAGCAGUCAAAGGCACAAAGGAGAAGGGACUGUAGCAGGGAUGGAGAGCUCUGGAUUAGGAAAUGCUUGGAGUAGAGGCAGGGAAAGAACCAUCCUCACAGAGCCCUGUGAAAUCAGAGGUACAGAAACCUGA
rnacentral:lncRNA from 1 species